UGAUAUAGAGGGUCAUUGUUCAUACUAUUUGAUUUCUAAAUAGAACAUGAUCCACGAUGAUGGUGUUAUAGAUAACAUUUUAUGGAUUUUAUUUAUUAGCAUAAUUUAAAAAUAAUUUCACAAAAAUUGUAAUUUAAUAAUACACCUUGGUUGAAAUAAUUUGAAGUUUAUUUGUAACAGAAAUUUUCAAAUAUAUUGUAGGAUUUAUGGAAAUAAAAUGUUCAGUGCUCCCUCUCCUGGUUUUAUCAUACCAGUGAACUGACCUCUUUUCCCCAAAUUGUGGUAAUAGCAGAGAAGACAGUUUUGAAAAACCAAAUAAGAUACCAUCAUGGAAUAUUGUAUUUCUGAUUUGACUCUUUCAAACCCAUUCAAAUUGUCCAAGAAACUUAUCCACUGGUUAAAGUUUAUUACUUCUCCAAAUAUGAGAUAUAUGAAAAUAGAAAAUAUGUACAAUAAUGUUGACUUUAGCCUUUGAAACAGUUUAUUUUAUUACAAUUUAUAUUAUUAAGAGUGAAUAGGUAGCUUCUUGGUUUAAUUUUUGUUCUGUGUUAUUUUCUAGUGAUGCUUUCUUGUUAAUGGUUUUAGCAGUGCCCUAGUGUCCUGAAAGGCCAUUCCAAAUAGAAUUUUAAUUAUUUUAAAGAACUCAAAUAUUAGAAAAUCUCGAAUAGAGAAAAAAAAAGUUUCAAAAGAAUUACUUACUAUUGUAAAGAAGAAUAUUUAAAAAUUAUUGAAAUGUCCAUACUCAAGUUUAUAUGAUUUUUUACUGAAGUUUUGUUUGCUUUAUUUUGUCAAAGACUUUAAGCUACUUCUUAUAUGUAGGACCUGCAAAAAAUAUUUCCCUUUCCACUUACUAUAUGCUUCUGGGUUUUAGGUAUCUUUUAAGAAUCUCUGUGGAAACUCAAAUUUCACAUAUUGUUACCCUCACAGCAGCAUGAAGUACAUGAUUUUGAUAAUAAAUGUCUAAAAUCCAAUAGUCUGUAAGGAAACAAAAAGCAUUUUUCCUACUGAUUAAAAUGCUUUUUUUUUCAGUGACACAUCAUAUAUACUUAAGAAUUAUAAAACCUCUUAGGAAAUUAUUUCUAUUUUAAUUGAUCUCUAUUUAGCUGAUUUUUAAAAAUAAACUUAUUUUUUCAAAAUUAUAUAAAUAUCUUACAAAAUUGAAGAGAGUCUGGGAUUUUUACAAUUUUGAUUUUGGGGAAAUUACAUCACAAAUCAAGAUAGAGCAAUUAUUAUAAAAUCUACAGGAGGAAAUCAUACCUUUAUCACAUAUUGUUACCUACAUUUUCAGUAAAGCGCGCCACGUUUUAGAUUUCACAUAUUCUGAACUUUGCUUUAAAUUGGAUCUGUAGUGGCAUAUCAUCAUCUUUUUUAUAUCAAUAUACAUUAUCUCACUAACUGAUCAGUAGUGAGGGCUUGAUAUACAACUUUUUAAUCUUUUAGUCUUCAAAGUUGUUUUGUAAUUCCACUUUUAAGGGUAGAGUUCACCAAUCCUUUUGCUGAGAUUUGAUAACUGAAGACUGCUAACUAAAUUUCAAGGUAUUCUUUUAUGACAAAAGGCAUUUGCAGGAUUUUUUGUGGCAAUCCACAUUUUCAGAGGAUGUUUUUUAGGGGAGUGUACAGGGCAACAUAUCCAAGUGGGUACUCAUAAAGGAAAGAGGAAACGACUGUUGGGGAAAUCCUGCUCCAGGUUUUCAGGCAGCCCGUAUGAUUGACACAUGAUAUCACUGGAGGCGUGUCCUGGAGUGGAGGUGGAGGUGGAGGCGAAGAGCUGAAAUUCUGCGGAGCCGGAGUGGGACUGCUCUGUAAGGCACGCAGUGGUUUGCAGAGUGAUAGCCGCAGACACAACUCCCAGCCCUGGAAAAGGAACAGCUACAGUUGCUGUAAAUGUGCCUGAAAAGCAAUUUCCAAUCUUUGCUUUAGCAGGCGUUUCGGCCGCGGAACAGGAGGGUCGGAGGACUGGGAGUGAUAGCUGCCCGGGAGAGGCUGACUGCCAGGACCGGAGUUCCCAGGGACGCCGUGCCCCCACUUGCCCGGCGUGCGGGAUCGGGAAAGUGCCUGGACCUGCGCGGGGGCCGAGGGACGACGCCCCGCCUUCUCCCCGGAGGAGAACCCCCAAACCUCGCUCCCUUCACCACCGCCCCUAAAAAAGCGGGGGGCUACAGGAGAAGAACCCCGGAGGUGGAUGUUACUGAGCUGCGCGGCGCACGCGAGCUGUGAGAGGUCUGCGCCUGGCCGCGCCGAGUCUCCAGAGGAUUGU